CCUAUGGGAGGCAGCAGUGGGGGAUAUUGCACAAUGGGGGAAAGCCUGAUGCAGCGACGCCGCGUGGGUGAAGAAGCGCCUCGGCGCGUAAAGCUCUGUCAGCAGGGAAGAAAAUGACGGUACCUGAAGAAGAAGCCACGGCCAAUAACGUGACAGCAGCCGCGGUAAGACGUAGGGGGCAAGCGUUAUCCGGAUUAACUGGGGUUAAAGGGGGCGUAGACGGCGUGGCAAGCAAGGAGUGAAAGCCCGGGGCCCAACCCCGGGACUGCUCUUGGAACUGCGUGGCUAGAGGGCGUGAGGGGCAGGCGGAAUUCCUGGUGUAGCGGUGAAAUGCGUAGAUAUCAGGAGGAACACCGGUGGCGAAGGCGGCCUGCUGAACUGCAACUGACGUUGAGGCCCGAAAGCGUGGGGAGCAAACAGGAUUAGAUACCCGAGUAGUC
rnacentral:rRNA from 1 species